UACGUAGGGGGCAAGCGUUGUCCGGAUUUACUGGGCGUAAAGCGCGCGUAGGCGGAACGGCCAGUCCGGUCUGAAAGCCCCCGGGCUCAACCGGGGAGGGUGGCUGGAAACUGCCGUUCGUUGAGGGCGAGAGAGGAGGGUGGAAUUCCUGGUGUAGCGGUGGAAAUGCGUAGAGAUCAGGAGGAACACCCGUGGCGAAGGCGGCCCUCUGGCU
rnacentral:rRNA from 1 species